AAACACAACCCACACUGUCACCCAACCUGUUGGCAAAACGGUCUUCCCUCUCCUCAAGGCCAGUGUUGAAGCCCAUGUUAUGUUCUUGAAAAAAAAGAACAAAAAAAAAAAACCUUUGUUAAAUUAAAACUCAAAACUCCCACUGAUUUCGUUUGAUCGGUUCUCUGCUUCCCUCAAAUCACACCUUUUGCAAAAUUGAUGAAAUGGGGCUUCUUGAUCUUGAGAAACACUUUGCUUUCUAUGCGGCUUAUCACAGCAACCCAAUUAACAUAGCAAUCCAUAUGAUAUUUGUUUGGCCAAUCUUUUUCACUGCUGUUCUUCUCUUCAAUUUCAUACCACUUCCUUUUGAUCUCCCUCACAUCGAUUUUUCUUUAUUUGGGAAUCAUGUUCUUCUAAUAUUUAACUUUGGGUUUUUGUUGACUUUAAUCUACGCUAUGUUCUAUGUCUGCUUCGAUUAUAAAGCUGGUUCGUUGGCUGCUUUACUCUGUCUCUUUUGUUGGAUUGCAAGCAGUGUUCUUGCAAGUCUCCUAGGGUUUCAACUCGCAUGGAAGGUUGUUCUUGUUGUUCAAUUGGUUUCUUGGACUGCUCAAUUUGUAGGACAUGGUGCAUUUGAGAGAAGAGCACCAGCCCUUCUAGACAACAUUUUACAAGCCUUCUUAAUGGCCCCAUUCUUUGUUUUAUUUGAGGCGCUCCAUAACUUUUUUGGGUACGAACCAUAUCCUGGAUUUCAUGUUCGUGUGACAUCAAUGGUACAUGAAGAAAUAGAAGAUUAUAGAAACAUGAAGGGAGAAUUACUAUCUUAGUGUAAUAAUCCAAAUAUGAUUGAAGAUCAUAAUUCAUACAACAUAAUCUAUAUAUAUAUUUUAACGAAAUUGGAAAGUAUUUUACGAACGCUUUGAAACUGUAAUCUUUAAUCCAUUUGCCAUUGACAGAAUUGUCAUCAUUCUGUAAUCCACCACAUGACCUUUCACUAAUUCGAACUUGAAAAAUCGACACAAAAUUGCAAGCGCCAUUUUCAUUUGUAGUGAAUUUGAAAGGAGACGCGUUUUGGAAAAAGCCAUCUUUAAGCCAUCUUUCGGGGUUAAAUUGAUUUGCAUCUGGUCCCCAAUUGUACUCCAUUCGUCCCAUCGAAUAAGCAGGAUACAACCGAAGUGUUUCUGUGAUGACAGCAUGCAAAUAGUACAACUUUCCAAGCGAAUCAUAACUCAUAAGUUGUGCAAAUUGUUUUGUUCUCAUGUCAAAAGAUUCAAGAUCUUGUGUUUCAUCACAAGGUUCCAAACACAUUUGUUCUUCUUUCGCACAUUCUUGUUCAAAUGCUUUAAGUUCUGUAUACAGUUUUUCUGCAACAUGAUCGUGUGUCAUGAUCAUGUAAAUGGCCCACGAAAGAGUUGUUGCUGUGGUGUCACGUCCCGCAAUCACAAAGUUUAAUACAACGUCUCUCAAACUCUUGUCAUUGAUGUUGUUUUCAGGGUCUUUUCCUAACUCGAUAAAUCUUGAUAAUAUGUCAUGCUUCAUCUGAUAAAUGUAUGAAAUAAGAUCAAUUUUAGUUA